ensembl:lncRNA
GAGAGACUGAGGGAGAAGAAAGAGACUGGAGUGAGAGACACACAAAGAAAGACACACGGAGGAAGACACGGGGGGAGCGAGAGAGAGAGAAACGGGGAGAGAGAUACUGGGAGGGAGAGAUGCUGGGAAAGUGAGAGACUGGAGUGAGAGACAGACAGGGAGAGAGAGACACUGGGGAAGUGAGAGAGAGACAUUGGGAAAGUAAGAGAGACACACUGGGGAAGUGAGCGAGAGACUGGGAAAGUAAGACACUGGGAGAGAGACACUGGGAAAGUAAGAGAGAGAAUGGGGAGAGAGACACUGAAAGUAAGAGAGACUGGGAGAGAGAGAGACACUGGGGAAGUGAGAGGGAGACACUGGAAAGUAAGAGACUAGGAGAGAGAAUUAUUGGGAGAGAGAGACACUGGGAAAGUAAGAGAAAGACUGGGAGAGAGACACUGGGAGAGAGACACUGGGAAAAGUAAGAGAGACUGGGAGAGAGACACUGAAAGUAAGAGAGAGACUGUGAGAGAGACACUGGGGAAGUGAGAGAGAGACUGGGAGAGAGACACUGGGAAAUAAAGAGAGAGAAUGGGAGAGAGACACUGAAAGUAAGAGAGACUGUGAGAGAGAGACACUGGGGAAGUGAGAGGGAGACUGGGAGAGAGACACUGGGAAAGUAAGAGAGACUGGGAGAGAGACACUGGGAAAGAGACACUGGGGGAGAGACACUGGGGAAGUGAGAGAGAGACUGGGAGAGGACACUGGGAAAGUAAGAGAGACUGGGAGAGGACACUGGGAAAGUAAGAGAGACUGGGAGAGAGACACUGGGAAAGUAAGAGAGACUGGGAGAGAGACACUGGGAAAGUAAGAGAGACUGGGAGAGAGACACUGGGGGAGAGACACUGGGGAA